UUUUCAUCUUCUCAAGCUGCACACACUGUCAGACAAAUUGACACCAUGCCAGGUCUCAUUCAGGCAAUGGCACUCCUUAAAAGUUGCUUUGCGAAGUAUGCUGGAAAAGAUGGAGACUGUAGCUCUUUGACCAAGGGAGAACUUGUAGAUCUGUUCCGUGAAGAGCUUGGCGUAAAUGUCAGUGGUCCAGCUGCGGACAAAAUCUUUGAUGAUCUGAACAGCGACAAGGACGGAGUUGUUGAUUUCAAGGAAUUUGUCAUUUUUGUGGCAGCUCUUGCUACAUGUAUGAAAUAAGUCUGUUUGCAUUGCUUUGCAAAUUUCUUUUACUUUUGUGCAGUUUGGACCAAAUAAAAUGUGGUAAAAUGUG